GAUGAAGAACGCAGCGAAAUGCGAUACUUGGUGUGAAUUGCAGAAUCCCGUGAACCAUCGAGUCUUUGAACGCAAGUUGCGCCCGAAGCCAUUAGGCCGAGGGCACGCCUGCCUGGGCGUCACACGUCGUUGCCCCCCCAUCUACUCCUUCGGGAUUGCGGGGGGCGGAUGAUGGCCUCCCGUGCGCCUCGUCGCGCGGUUGGCAUAAAUGCCAAGUCCUCGGCGACGCACGUCACGACAAUCGGUGGUUGCGAAACCUCGGUUGCCCGUCGUGUGCGGUCGUCGCGCAUCGAGGGCUCGAAAAAAUUGCCGGGCUCCGGCUCGGCUUUCAACGCGACCCCAGGUCAGGCGGGGUUACCCGCUGAAUUUAAGCAUAUCAAUAAGCGGAGGA
rnacentral:misc_RNA from 1 species